UGUUCCCCUCGCGGCCCCGCCUCUCCCUGCUCCCCAAGCUUGGAAGCUGCGCCGCCCCCUGUGUCCCAGCGUGGCAUGGGGGCGUCAGGAUGCCAGCAUUGCCUGCUUCCGGUUCCUCUCCUCUGAAGACCACAGGACGCCCGCUGGCCUCUUCCUUGUCCUCUGUAUCUCUGUUCUACCCGCAGCAGUAAGACACCAAUUGCCAAGUAUGCAUUACGUCUAUCUUAUAUUAUACAAUCUCCUGAAUUAUAUUACUUGGUUAUUUAAAGACCACCUUUACAGAAACAAGUGGCCAAAGAUGAAACUGAGAGACGAGGCUAAGAAAGGAAAGGGAAAUGAACUGGAAGAUCCACAAACCAGUGGUGAUUGCUGCGUUUCUGCGUCUCUCCUCUGUUCUCUUCACCUGGCAGCACUGUGUCUUGCACUUUUGGGAGCCGCUACGCUGUCUCCCUCCAUCCCUGCUUCCACCAGUUGAUAGACUGUCUCCUAACGUGCGUGGACUUUGAUCUGCACUUUGACCCUCCUACGUUUGCUCACCUCUGCCCAUCUUAUGCCCGCCCCAGGUGACCAAGUUUAGCCCACAGGAGACAGUUUAUCCUUCUAGUCAAGCAUUUGGGAGAAAUUCAUCAGCUUGGAUUUACAGUUUCUCCCCUGGCCAGCCACAAGGGGCACCCUUCAAUGGAGAGAAGAAGUACAAAUAAUGCAGAACAAAAUGCAGCCUCUUCAGCCUGCACUGUCCUCACCCCCAUCUAAACCAGAUUUAUUGCUGUUGUUAUUUUGGUUUUCCUUCUUAGCUGUGAACAACAAUACUGUGUUAUUUACCACUGACCUGGGGGCUGAUUGAGUUCAGCUCUGGGGUACUUUUGCUACGCACAACAUUGGCUGGGCAAGCGCAGUGCUGCUCUUAGUUGGGAGUGCAAUCAAAGUCUUUCUCUUAUUCUCUAUGGUCCCGGUUUUUAAGCAGCCCUGCUGAGAAAAGAGCUUCUGGGCCAGCUUUUCACUGGGAAGAUGCGUCUCACAGGGCGGACCGAGGCAUUCUGAGCACUAAGGAGAGCACUUCCUGUUGCAAAUGGAAUCACAUGGAUUAGGUUUGUCUGUGUGUCUCACUGGGGUUUACUCUGUGGAUUGGCUGUUGGGAAGAAAUGCAUUUGAAGGAGAGUAACAGCGUUACUGCCUCGAGGCAGAAGAGAGGCUCUGUGAGUGCUCCUUUUAAUGUUCCAGUUACCCGCAAGGACUGCUCCUCAGUCGGUUGCGCCUUCUCCCUCAGCCACUGCAGCUGGCUGCAUUGGGUCAGCGGAACUGCCUGCUGCAAGACAGCGACACGACACUGGUUUGCAAGUGGCUCCUGAGAAGAAGCCAAGAGAGCGAGAGCAGUGUGGUUUCAUGUAAACGUGCAUCCUUCUGCAAAACGUCAGGCAAUAACUGUGAGGUCGGAGCUAGCACCGGCAAUUUGCGGUCCCUGCACAUAGAGCAGCCCACUGUGGGGCCAGAACACGCGCUGGUGCUGACUCACGCUCAGGUCAGCGCACAAGGGCGACGUCCAGCAAGGAAGGGGUCAACGUCGCGCUCUGCUUCUGAUGUACAUUUGUCUGAGAGGCCAUAAGAUAACAAAAAAUAUUAUAUUAAAAACACCAGCAUAUUGAUGACUCCAAUCCUUAUUGAUAUACAAUAAUUCCUUGAUCUCUUCAACUUUCAUUUCCUUCAUCUAUUUAACAAUAUACACAACAGGG
ensembl:lncRNA